GACGAACGCUGGCGGCGUGCCUAAUACAUGCAAGUUGAGCGCUGAAGGUUGGUACUUGUACCAACUGGAUGAGCAGCGAACGGGUGAGUAACGCGUGGGGAAUCUGCCUUUGAGCGGGGGACAACAUUUGGAAACGAAUGCUAAUACCGCAUAAAAACUUUAAACACAAGUUUUAAGUUUGAAAGAUGCAAUUGCAUCACUCAAAGAUGAUCCCGCGUUGUAUUAGCUAGUUGGUGAGGUAAAGGCUCACCAAGGCGAUGAUACAUAGCCGACCUGCGAGGGUGAUCGGCCACAUUGGGACUGAGACACGGCCCAAACUCCUACGGGAGGCAGCAGGAGGGAAUCUUCGGCAAUGGACGAAAGUCUGACCGAGAAACGCCGCGGGAGUGAAGAAGGUUUUCGGAUCGUAAAAAUCUGUUGGUAGAGAAGAACGUUGGUGAGAGUGGAAAGCUCAUCAAGUGACGGUAACUACCCAGAAAGGGACGGCUAACUACGUG
rnacentral:rRNA from 1 species